rnacentral:rRNA from 1 species
GUCUUUUUGUUUAUAAUAUAAAGUCUAACCUGCCCACUGAUAAUUUAUUAAAUGGCCGCGGUAUAUUGACUGUGCAAAGGUAGCAUAAUCAUUUGUCUCUUAAUUAGAGGCUGGAAUGAAUGGUUGAAUGAAAUAUUAACUGUCUCAAUUUUAAAAAAAUAAAAAUUUAGCUUUUAAGUUAAAAGGCUUAAAUUUAUUUAAAGGACGAGAAGACCCUAUAGAUCUUUAUAAUUAAAUUAUAUUAUAAUUUAGAAAAAUAUUUAAUAAAAUAAUAAAAAUUAUUUUAUUGGGGUGAUAGGAAAAUUAAAAUAACUUUUUUUAAAAUAUUAACAUUAAUUUAUGAUUAAUUGAUCCAUUAUUAAUGAUUAAAAGAUUAAGUUACCUUAGGGAUAACAGCGUAAUUUUUUUGAAGAGUUCAUAUCGAUAAAAAAGAUUGCGACCUCGAUGUUGAAUUAAAGUAAUUUUUAGAUGUAGCAGUUUAAAAUUUGGGUCUGUUCGACCUUUAAAUCUUU